UUCAUGCGAUCAAGAGGUAUUUGACGCUCCAAAAGUGCUAAGGUAAAAUUCUAUUUGAAUUUAUUUGAUUUACUAUUUUGCUUUUCAUCCUAUUUAAGGUUUACGAGCGAAAAUUAAGCCAAUUUUAAAUGAUUUUGCUCUUUUUAAUCGAAUUUUCUUCGCGGGAAAUUUAAACAGACUUCAAGAAGUGUCUCGUGGUAAACGUUAAGCUAAUAUCACUUUAUAUUAAAAGAAUUCCUUAUGAAGAAUGCAUUAUAAGCAACGCUCUUUUAGGUAACGAGAAAUUAAAGUUUAUAUAUUGGCAAAGGCAAAAAUACAUGUGUUAUUAUUAACAGCCCCCCUGUAUUUUCCAGAGGGGUUUACUCACAUUUUCAUUUUUUAUAUUUUGUUAUUUUUAUGUUUUUUUAUAAGUUGCAUUUUGUUAUAAGUUUUCCAACAGUGUUGGACCAGAAAACUAAGGUAAGCAUGUUAAGCACAUGAUCAACAUUAUGAAAUCCUACAGAGUGUACAUGUAUGUUAUUAGAAGCUAAACAGCAAUUAAUGAGACUGAUCCAUCUGCAUAAUGAACUUCAGAUUUGACAACGAGUACGAGAUUGAGUACGAGUACGAGUUUUAAAAUUGGCCUUCAUUGUGAUAUUAAUCAUGGAUUGCAUUCCUGUGAAUAGUUUAAAACAUCAAAGAAAUAAAAACAUGAGGUGGAUUGAAAUCCUGUAUGGACAACACAAUAAAAGCUUGUUUGAAAACUCGUACUCAAUCUUGUACUCGUUGUCAAAUCUGAAGUUCCUUAAUGUUGGUGAUCAGGGGCACAGCAAAAACCAAAGAAAAAUGUUUGAUUUAUUUUUCUCAUGCAUUUUUUUUUAAAUUAACAAAGUUUCUUCGAUUUCUGGGACCUGAAAAACCCUCUUACCCAUUACUAUGCCACUUUUGGCAAUAUAAAACUAAUUAUCAUUAGGAUCCCAUUGUUGUAGAAAUUCUCUUGAUAGUGAUCAUAACAGAGGUUAUAUUGAUUAUUGCAGUAUUACAUUCUGAAAUAGCUGACACUCCUUGCUUCUUACACAUUUUUUUCUACUGUUAUUAGAUCUUUUGCAUUUUGAUUCCUUUUUAUCUGCUUGCAGCAAUUUAGUGAUACCACACCAAACAAACAGUGGUUGACUGCCCUUACUCAGCUGAAACAGAAUUAGAAACAUCUGCUUCUAAGAAGAUUGCUUUGUUUGAUCAUGGUUUAAGAAAUUAAAAAACUUUCUUUAUGCUCUUC